rnacentral:rRNA from 1 species
UACGGAGGGUGCAAGCGUUGUCCGGAUUUAUUGGGUUUAAAGGGUGCGUAGGCGGUCUUUUAAGUCAGUGGUGAAAUCCUCCAGCUUAACUGGAGAACUGCCAUUGAUACUGGAAGACUUGAGUACAGACGAGGUAGGCGGAAUUGACAGUGUAGCGGUGAAAUGCAAAGAUAUUGUCAAGAACACCGAUUGCGAAGGCAGCUUACUAGACUGUAACUGACGCUGAGGCACGAAAGUGUGGGGAUCAAACAGG